rnacentral:rRNA from 1 species
GUGAGGAAUAUUGGGCAAUGGGCGCAAGCCUGACCCAGCCAUGCCGCGUGCAGGAAGACGGUCCUAUGGAUUGUAAACUGCUUUUAUACGGGAAGAAACACUCCCUCGUGAGGGAGCUUGACGGUACCGUAAGAAUAAGGAUCGGCUAACUCCGUGCCAGCAGCCGCGGUAAUACGGAGGAUCCAAGCGUUAUCCGGAAUCAUUUGGUUUAAAGGGUCCGUAGGCGGCCUUAUAAGUCAGUGGUGAAAUCCCAUCGCUCAACGAUGGAACUGCCAUUGAUACUGUAAGGCUUGAAUAAUUGUGAAGUAACUAGAAUAUGUAGUGUAGCGGUGAAAUGCUUAGAUAUUACAUGGAAUACCAAUUGCGAAGGCAGGUUACUAACAAUUGAUUGACGCUGAUGGACGAAAGCGUGGGGAGCGAACAGGAUUAGAUACCCCUGUAGUCC